GCUGCCGCUCGCGGGAUGCGGACGAGUCUGUUGAGUGUGUUGUGCCGUCUGCCGUCUCCUCUUCGGGCCAUGAACGCAGGAUGCGAGACUCGACAGGCGACGGGCGACUCAACCGCUCAAGAUGUGUUGAAUGUGGAUGGCGGAGGAGCGGCGGCCGAGGACG